GACUCGGUGGCGGAUGGUCCGUGUACCCAAUAGAUGCGAUAAAUCGAAUCUCGUUGAUUAUGUGGGGAAGGUGCCUGUUCGAAUCAGGCCCGAGUCA